rnacentral:rRNA from 1 species
GACGAACGCUGGCGGCGUGCUUAACACAUGCAAGUCGAACGAGAAUCUGUGGAAAGAGGAUUCGUCCAAUUGAAACAGAGGACAGUGGCGGACGGGUGAGUAACGCGUGAGGAACCUGCCUUUCAGAGGGGGACAACAGUUGGAAACGACUGCUAAUACCGCAUAACGCAUAGAAGUCGCAUGGCUUUUAUGCCAAAGAUUUAUCGCUGAAAGAUGGCCUCGCGUCUGAUUAGCUGGUUGGUGAGGUAACGGCCCACCAAGGCAACGAUCAGUAGCCGGACUGAGAGGUUGAACGGCCACAUUGGGACUGAGAUACGGCCCAGACUCCUACGGGAGGCGGCAGUGGGGAAUAUUGGGCAAUGGGCGCAAGCCUGACCCAGCAACGCCGCGUGAAGGAAGAAGGCUUUCGGGUUGUAAACUUCUUUUGUCAGGGACGAGGAGAAGACGGUACCUGACGAACAAGCCACGGCUAACU